rnacentral:rRNA from 1 species
GACGAACGCUGGCGGCGUGCCUAAUACAUGCAAGUAGAACGCACAGUUUAUACCGUAGCUUGCUACACCAUAGACUGUGAGUUGCGAACGGGUGAGUAACGCGUAGGUAACCUGCCUGGUAGCAGGGGAUAACUAUUGGAAACGAUAGCUAAUACCGCAUAAUAUUAAUUAUUGCAUGAUAAUUAAUUGAAAGGUGCAAUUGCACCACUACCAGAUGGACCUGCGUUGUAUUAGCUAGUAGGUGAGGUAACGGCUCACCUAGGCGACGAUACAUAGCCGACCUGAGAGGAGGAUCGGCCACACUGGGACUGAGACACGGCCCAGACUCCUACGGGAGGCAGCAGUAGGGAAUCUUCGGCAAGGGACGAAAGUCUGAACGAGCAACGCCGCGUGAGUGAAGAAGGUUGUCGGAUCGUAAAGCUCUGUUGUAAGAGAAGAACGGGUGUGAGAGUGGAAAGUUCACACUGUGACGGUAACUAACCAGAAAGGGACGGCUAACUACGUG